ACACACUCUUCAUCAUCACACAAGACUAAACUACAACUAUGAACAACAUCAACAUCUUCAUCUGGACCAUUGCACUGUUUGCUCAAGAGUGUAGAGGACAGAUCACUGUAACUCAGAGUCCAUCAAUACCAGCAGUUCAACCAGGAGAAGAAGUCAGAAUAAACUGUAAAACCAGCAGUGAUGUGUAUUAUUAUAGUUCUUAUGGUCAUCGUUUAGCCUGGUACUCACAGAAACCUGGAGAAGCUCCUAAACUCCUCAUAUAUAGAGCAACAAACCGUUAUACUGGAACUCCAUCUAGAUUCAGUGGCAGUGGAUCUGGCAGUGAUUUUACUCUGACCAUCAGUGGAGUCCAGACUGAAGAUACAGGAGAUUAUUACUGUCAGAGUUAUCAUGCUAUCAGUGGUAAAGAUGUGUUCACACAGUGAUAAAGAGUCGUACAAAAACCUCUGUCAGUCAGACGUCACAGUGACUGCACUGAUACAGCUGAGAGAAACUGCAGCUGCUGAUGGAGGAUCACAAACUACACAAUAUCAAUGUUUAGCAAACUUUAUAAAGACUUUAAAGGUAAAUAUAAUAUAAUAUCUUUAUGCUAAAAUACAUUAACCCAGUUAAUUGUUCAUUGACUAUUACUGCCAUUCAUGUGUGUAUCUCUCUCAAAUGCAGGGCCGACAUGCAGAUUUUAGACAGAUCUUUCAUAUGAAUUACAAUUUACAAUAAUAUAGCAUGAAUAUUGAUCAACGUUAACAUAUGCAUAAAGUAAAUAAAUGGUCAAAUGAAUAACCAACAAAUCAAAAAUUAAACUACUAAUCAACAAAAGGUGCAAAAUCUUUUAUUACAUGAUACAUUUCAGCACUACAGAGAAACAUUGUGAGGUCA